rnacentral:rRNA from 1 species
UGGGGAAUAUUGGACAAUGGGCGCAAGCCUGAUCCAGCAAUGCCGCGUGGGUGAAGAAGGUCUUCGGAUCGUAAAGCCCUUUCGACAGGGACGAUGAUGACGGUACCUGUAGAAGAAGCCCCGGCUAACUUCGUGCCAGCAGCCGCGGUAAUACGAAGGGGGCUAGCGUUGCUCGGAAUUACUGGGCGUAAAGGGCGCGUAGGCGGCUUGGCCAGUCAGGCGUGAAAUUCCUGGGCUUAACCUGGGGACUGCGCUUGAUACUGCCAGGCUUGAGGCCGAGAGAGGGUGGUGGAAUUCCCAGUGUAGAGGUGAAAUUCGUAGAUAUUGGGAAGAACACCGGUGGCGAAGGCGACGACCUGGUCCAUUACUGACGCUGAGGCGCGACAGCGUGGGGAGCAAA